rnacentral:misc_RNA from 1 species
GAUGAAGAACGCAGCGAAAUGCGAUAAGUAGUGUGAAUUGCAGAAUUCAGUGAAUCAUCGAAUCUUUGAACGCACAUUGCGCCCCUUGGUAUUCCAUGGGGCAUGCCUGUUCGAGCGUCAUUUGUACCUUCAAGCCUUGCUUGGUGUUGGGUGUUUGUCUCGCCUCUGCGCGCAGACUCGCCUCAAAACAAUUGGCAGCCGGCGUAUUGAUUUCGGAGCGCAGUACAUCUCGCGCUUUGCACUCACAACGGCGGCGUCCAAAAGUACAUUUUUACACUCUUGACCUCGGAUCAGGUAGGGAUACCCGCUGAACUUAAGCAUAUCAAUAAGCGGAGGA